AUCCGUAACUUCGGGAUAAGGAUUGGCUCUGAAGAUUGAGAUAAUCGGGCUUGAAUGGGAAACAAUAAAGUGGUGCAUGUACUCGUUCUGGGUAAAUAGAAUUUAUUAUAAAAUUUAUUUUAUAAUAUUUUUGUUCCCCGGAUAGAAGCUACAUAACCAGUUGUGGAACAUUCUUGCUAAUAAUAUACUGGUAAUAUGAUUUUUAAUUAUAUUAUCAUAUAUUUUAUAACGGUUAUCAAUUAACAAUCAAUUCAGAACUGGCACGGACUUGGGGAAUCCGACUGUCUAAUUAAAACAAAGCAUUGUGAUGGCCCUAACGGGUGUUGACACAAUGUGAUUUCUGCCCAGUGCUAUGAAUGUCAAAGUGAAGAAAUUCAUUUAAGCGCUGGUUAACGGCGGGAGUAACUAUGACUCUCUUAAGGUAGCCAAAUGCCUCGUCAUCUAAUUAGUGACGCGCA
rnacentral:rRNA from 1 species